rnacentral:rRNA from 1 species
UAACCUGGUUGAUCCUGCCAGUAGCAUAUGCUUGUCUCAAAGACUAAGCCAUGCAUGUCUAAGUAUAAAUAGUAUACAGUGAAACUGCGAAUGGCUCAUUAAAACAGUUAUAGUUUAUUUGAUAAUGGAAAGCUAUAUGGAUAACCGUAGUAAUUCUAGAGCUAAUACACGCUAUCAAACCUGACUUUUUGAAAGGUUGUAUUUAUUAGAUAUCAAACCAAUAUUCUUUCGGGAAUAUUGUGGUGAUUCAUAGUAACUGAUCGAAUCUCCCUUUGGAGAUAAAUCAUUCAAGUUUCUGCUCUAUCAGCUUUCGAUGGUAGGGUAUUGGCCUACCAUGGCUCUAACGGGUAACGGAGAAUUAGGGUUCGAUUCCGGAGAGGGAGCCUUAAAAACGGCUACCACAUCUAAGGAAGGCAGCAGGCGCGUAAAUUACCCAAUCCUGAUUCAGGGAGGUAGUGACAAGAAAUAACAACUCGGGGAACUCAAGUUCUUACGGGAUUGCAAUGAGAAGACCGAAUUUAAACACUUUUUCGAGGAACAAUUGGAGGGAAAGUCUGGUGCCAGCAGCCGCGGUAAUUCCAGCUCCAAUAGCGUAUAUUAAAGUUGUUGCAGUUAAAAAGCUCGUAGUUGAACUUCUGACAGCGAGUAAGUUUGGCUUCGGCCAGCUUGCCUGUUGUCAUCCGUCUGCAAACCUUGAGCGUCCUUUAGUGCGUCGGCAAGGGGAGUAGACAUUUUACUUUGAAAAAAUUAGAGUGUUUCAAGCAGGUAUUUGCCUGAAUACUUUAGCAUGGAAUAAUGGAAUACGACUCUCGUCUAUUUUAAUUGGUUAUUAGACUUGAGUAAUGAUUAAUAGGGACAGUUGAAGACAUUAGUACUUAAUUGUCAGAGGUGAAAUUCGUGGAUUUAUUAAAGACUAACUAAUGCGAAAGCAUUUGCCAAGGAUGUUUUCAUUAAUCAAGAACGAAAGUUCGAGGAUAGACAGCGAUCAGACACCACUUUAUUUCGAACUAUAAACUAUACCGAUUUGAGAUUGCCAGUUUUUUCUGAAAAAUUGGCAGCAUCACAUGAGAAAUCCAAAUCUUUGGGUUCUGGGGGGAGUAUGGUCGCAAGACUGAAACUUAAAGGAAUUGACGGAACGACACCACCAGGUGUGGAGCCUGCGGCUUAAUUUGACUCAACACGGGAAAACUUACCAGAUCAAAACAUGAGUGGGAUUGACAGAUUGAGAGCUCUUUCUUGAUUGUAUGGGUGGUGGUGCAUGGCCGUUCUUAGUUGGUGGAGUGAUUUGUCUGGUUAAUUCCGUUAACGAACGAGACCUUAACCUGCUAACUAGUCCUCUUGUCCCAAACAGGAGGUACUUCUUAGAGGGACUAUGGGACCCAAGCCCAUGGAAGUUUGAGGCAAUAACAGGUCUGUGAUGCCCCUAGAUGUUCUGGGCCGCACGCGUUCUACAAUGACUUGUGCAGCAAGUCCUACCCUGGCUCGGAAGAGUUCGGGUAAUCUUUGUAAUGCAAGUCGUAUUAGGGAUAGAUCUUUGGAAUUAUAGAUCUUGAACGAGGAAUACCUAGUAAGUGCAAGUCUUCAGCUUGUACUGAUUACGUCCCUGCCGUUUGUACACACCGCCCGUCGCUCCUACCGAUUCCGAGUGAUGUGGUAAACAUUCUGGACUGAAGUGGUCCUUGAGACCGAUUUCGGGAAGUAACGUAAACCUUAUCACUUAGAGGAAGGAGAAGUCGUAACAAGGUUUCCGUAGGUGAACCUGCAGAAGGAUCAA